GACGAACGCUGGCGGCGUGCUUAACACAUGCAAGUCGAACGAUGAACCCGGAGCUUGCUCCGGUGGAUUAGUGGCGAACGGGUGAGUAACACGGGAGUAACCUGCCCUUGACUCUGGGAUAACUGCGGGAAACUGUAGCUAAUACCGGAUACGACCCUCGGCGGCAUCGCCAGGGGGUGGAAAGCAUUUCGGUCCAGGAUGGACUCGCGGCCUAUCAGCUAGUUGGUGAGGUAACGGCUCACCAAGGCGACGACGGGUAGCCGGCCUGAGAGGGUGACCGGCCACACGGGGACUGAGAAACGGCCCAGACUCCUACGGGAGGCAGCAGUGGGGAAUAUUGCACAAUGGGCGCAAGCCUGAUGCAGCAACGCCGCGUGAGGGAUGACGGCCUUCGGGUUGUAAACCCCUUUCGGCAGGGAAGAUGGAACGGGUAACCGUUCGGACGGUACCUGCAGAAGCAGCCACGGCUAACUUCGUGCCAGCCGCCGCCGUAA
rnacentral:rRNA from 1 species